rnacentral:rRNA from 1 species
UUUGACGUUACCUACAGAAGAAGCACCGGCUAACUCCGUGCCAGCAGCCGCGGUAAUACGGAGGGUGCGAGCGUUAAUCGGAAUUACUGGGCGUAAAAGCGCAUGCAGGCGGCCUGUUAAGUCAGAUGUGAAAAGCCCGGGCUUAAACCUCGGAAAUUGCAUUUGAAAACUGGCAGGCUAGAGUCUUGUAGAGGGGGUAGAAUUUCAGGUGUAGCGGUGAAAAUGCGUAGAGAUCUGAAGGAAUACCAGUGGCGAAGGCGGCCCCCUGGACAAAGACUGACGCUCAGAUGCGAAAGCGUGGGGAGCAAACAGGAUUAGAUACCCUGGUAG